GGUUUGCUGCUGUCGCCUUUGAGGUGUAGGAAGGGCCCUUGGGCCAGUGAGUGAAGAUUAAAGGACAGGGAACAAUUCUCCUGGAACCCCAUCCCCAAAAGAAGAAUGCUUCCCAGCCAGUACCGCGACCUCAGCCCAGGAGACCAGUCAGACUUCGGAUUCAUGACCUGCAAAGGAAUAGACCGAAUUGUCUGAAGCCACUGCACCGGUGGCCGGUGGCAACAGCAGCACAGGAAACAGAUAUGGUGUAGAAUGAAUAUUUGUUGAAAUUCAACGAGAAGAACCUGCAAAGGAUAGGUUACAUACACAUAGGGAGAAUCUUAAUACCAGAGGCCAAGUUAUUAAGUUCUUGAGUCUCAUGUUUCAGAGGAUCAGAGGUAGGACGUGGUUUAAGGUUCAGAGAGGAGACUCUUUCCCAGUGAUGAGGUGCCGCGGCUGCGCAGAAGGACCGUCCUGCCUUGGGCCCUGGAAAGGCAGCGGAGAGAACGCAGUGCCAGGCGGGAGAAGGUCACAAUUACCGAGCGCACUGGGGGCCAGGAGGCGACUUAAGAAUUCACCAAAGGGGCACUGUUCAUAGGAGGGAGUCACAUCUGGCGUCCCCGUCACUCCUGUGGAUGAGGUGAGGUCUGGGAUUUGGGCACAGGGCAGCUGGUCUUUGCUCCACUGCUUUUCUGGAAGCCACGAUUGCACCAGCAUUCCAGCUUCGGUUCCCAGGCCUUGGCAACCGCGCACCAGGAGCUUGGGGACAUCACAGUGUUUCUGCUCCUGACAUCAUGUGAAGGUUGAUCACACUGGCUCCAAAUAAGGUAUCCAAAGCCCAAGACUCAGCCGAGAGGUGGGAGGCAGCCUCUGACUGAGACUUGGUCUCACGUAAGUUCACGUGGCACUGUCCCCAGAUCCCAGAGCGGCCGAGACUGAGCCUGGGAAGAAACCUGGAGUCCCUGGGAGUCGGUUCUUACUCAGAUCCCGCAGCAGGAGGAGUCAGCUCUGAAGAAGUCACACAGACACAAAGCCCUUUGAGGUGCCAUUUGUUCACAAUGAAGAGCAGGACUUUCUAGUGUAAAGCUACACGUGGUGUCACACUCCCCGGGCCAGCUCCUCCCUGCACUGCCAAGACUUCGAGAGGAAGUUGGCUUAGGACUGUGUGGUGACCAGAGGGACAGCGAAGACUGAGGACCAUGGGUCUGCAUCAGAUUUAUUAGAAAGGACCUGACCCAAAUGCUAAAGACAUUUUAUAAUAGUGAGCAGAAACACUGGUGGAUGGAGUACACACACUCACACACACACACACACACACGCACACACGCCAUGAUUCAAGAAUAUUGAGAAUAAAAUUUGUCAAAAUAAAACUGUAACAAACAGCAAAACCCACACAACUUCGGAAACGGCUCCUUGGGGUGGACCACAUUGAUGAGGUUCUUGCUCAGAUUCACUCACCACAAUUCAGUGACCUCCUCAGGAGCUACCAGCCGAGCAAGGCCCACCAGAGUGUGUUGUUAAAGGACGUGAACCAGCAGCUGGAACCUAUGGCGGUAGGAAGAGAGGGAGCAGCGCCACCUCACCCCAACCAGACACCAUCCUGCAGCCAGCUGCAGCUGGAUCUCACUGCCCAGCUGCCCUUGCCCAGGCUCCUGCUCUCCGAGCCCAGCCUAUUCAGCACACUGGACUCUACCGCCUGCCGGGCCGGCCCAGCCUGCAGAGGAUGUGUCCACAGUGGUCUCACCUGCUGCUGCUGUGUGUGGGCUGGUGAAUCUCCUUGGAGAUUCUCCUGUGGCAAUAUCUAUACAAUAUCUAACAAAAUAAAAUUCACAUUUAUUUUUUUUUA